rnacentral:rRNA from 1 species
CAGUAGCCACGGUAAUACGAAGGGGGCUAGCGUUGCUCGGAAUUACUGGGCGUAAAGGGCGCGUAGGCGGACAGUUCAGUCGGGGGUGAAAGCCCGGGGCUCAACCUCGGAAUUGCCUUCGAUACUGGCUGUCUUGAGUAUGAGAGAGGUGUGUGGAACUCCGAGUGUAGAGGUGAAAUUCGUAGAUAUUCGGAAGAACACCAGUGGCGAAGGCGACACACUGGCUCAUUACUGACGCUGAGGCGCGAAAGCGUGGGGAGCAAACAGGAUUAGAUACCCGUGUAGUCCCUGUCUCUUAUAA